GCUGUCCUUAGUACGAGAGGACCGGGAUGGACAUACCUCUGGUGUACCAGUUGUCGUGCCAACGGCAUAGCUGGGUAGCUAUGUAUGGACGGGAUAAGUGCUGAAAGCAUCUAAGCAUGAAGCCCCCCUCAAGAUGAGAUUUCCCAACUUCGGUUAUAAGAUCCCUCAAAGAUGAUGAGGUUAAUAGGUUCGAGGUGGAAGCGUGGCGACACGUGGAGCUGACGAAUACUAAUCGAUCGAAGACUUAAUCAAA
rnacentral:rRNA from 1 species